AAGUCGUAACAAGGUUUCCGUAGGUGAACCUGCGGAAGGAUCAUUAAUGAAUUUGGAGAAUUGAUGCUGGCCUUUGUGCAUGUGCUCGUUCUCUUUAAUCCAUACACACCUGUGCACUUGUUAUCGGGGCUUGUUGUUAAAGAUAAGCCCUGCUUAAUCACAUACUCUUAUUAUUUACUUUGAAUGUUUAUCAAGUCGAAAGACUUUUAAAUCAAUACAACUUUUAACAACGGAUCUCUUGGCUCUCGCAUCGAUGAAGAACGCAGCCUGUCUCUUAUACA
rnacentral:misc_RNA from 1 species